rnacentral:rRNA from 1 species
UACGUAGGGAGCAAGCGUUGUUCGGAUUUACUGGGCGUAAAGGGCGCGUAGGCGGCAUGACAAGUCACUUGUGAAAUCUCCGGGCUUAACUCGGAACGGUCAAGUGAUACUGUCGCGCUAGAGUGCGGAAGGGGCAAUCAGAAUUCUUGGUGUAGCGGUGAAAUGCGUAGAUAUCAAGAGGAAUACCUGAGGUGAAGACGGGUUGCUAGGCCGACACUGACGCUGAAGCGCGAAAGCCAGGGGAGCAAACGGG